rnacentral:lncRNA from 1 species
GUUGCCUUCCCCCGCAGGGCAACGAUUCUCGUUUCGUCUUGAGCGAGCGACAUCAUCUACUUCAGCAGAGUUACACGGCAUUAAGGAGGCCCUUGUGUAUGUACUUCGACCAAAGACAUGGG